rnacentral:tRNA from 1 species
GAGGGUUUUGGGGUUGUCGCUGCUAACGAUGAUUUGAAUUAUUUAUUUAUUCAACCUUCU